rnacentral:lncRNA from 1 species
GGCUCUCUGCCGGUGUCGUCAAUGCUCGCAACCACUCAAGUUCGCGGCUGUUAACCAGACUUGCUCUUGCGGAAAUAACUUGAACGAACAGGUGGAGCUCGGAAGACACCAGGAUAAAGCCCAAGGGGAACCUCGGCAGAUUCCUUGGCAGGUGAAGGUGACCGAGGGGGAAAGAACAAACACGAAGACAGAAUUUAACAAGUUUUAUUGGAAAGGAAAGGGGGGUCGGAAAGAGGUAAAGAGACAUAGAGACAGAGAGAGGACAAAAGAAAAGAGGGAAACAGGAAAAGUCCGUCUACCCCAAGGGAGCAGCGGGAAAGAAAUCCGGGAAAGAGAACACAAGUG